rnacentral:snoRNA from 1 species
CCUUUGCUGAUGAGUCACUUCUUGACUUUCGUUCUUCUGAGCUUGCUGAAGCCACGCUUACUGACCUGAGGAGG